rnacentral:rRNA from 1 species
GACGAACGCUGGCGGCGUGCCUAAUACAUGCAAGUCGAGCGCAGGAAGCUGACGGAACUCUUCGGAGGGAAGGCAGUGGAAUGAGCGGCGGACGGGUGAGUAACACGUAAGGAACCUGCCUCAAGGAUUGGGAUAACUCCGAGAAAUCGGAGCUAAUACCGGAUAGUUCAUCGGACUGCAUGGUCCGUUGAUGAAAGGCGCUUCGGCGUCACCUUGAGAUGGCCUUGCGGUGCAUUAGCUAGUUGGUGGGGUAACGGCCCACCAAGGCGACGAUGCAUAGCCGACCUGGGAGGGUGAUCGGCCACCCUGGGAAUGAGACACGGCCCAGACUCCUACGGGAGGCAGCAGUAGGGAAUCUUCCACAAUGGACGAAAGUCUGAUGGAGCAACGCCGCGUGAGUGAUGAAGGUUUUCGGAUCGUAAAACUCUGUUGUAAGGGAAGAACACGUACGAGAGGGAAUGCUCGUACCUUGACGGUACCUUACGAGAAAGCCACGGCUAACUACGUGCCAGCAGCCGCCGUAA